UACGGGGGGGGGCAAGCGUUGUUCGGAAUUACUGGGCGUAAAGGGCUCGUAGGCGGCCAACUAAGUCGGACGUGAAAUCCCCAGGCUCAACCUGGGAACUGCGUCCGAUACUGGAUGGCUUGAAUCCGGGAGAGGGAUGCAGAAUUCCAGGUGUAGCGGUGAAAUGCGUAGAUAUCAGGAGGAACACCGGUGGCGAAGGCGGAUCUCUGGGCCAUUACUGACGCUGAGGAGCGAAAGCGUGGGGAGCGAACAGG
rnacentral:rRNA from 1 species